UGGUAACUCUCCAGGGCCGCUCUGAUUCUAGAAUCACUCUACCAUAAAGUCUGGAUGUUCAAAGACUCCUUUGCGAGACACCGUGAGCAUCUCUUCCAAUAUAAUUUAAAAACUGGUAAAGUACCCCCCUCCCCUGCCUUUUACAGCCUAGGAGAAGUCAUGUGACACAGCUCUGGCCAAUGAGAUGCAAGUCAAUGUGCUGGAUUGAUGCUGCCUCUCCUUCUUGUCUUUCAUGAGAAUGUUAUACUGGGGGUUGCUGCCACCACCUUGCAACCAUGAAAGAAAAACCAGAAAACUAUAGGGAUACCAGCUCUGGCACAGCUGAGAAUCAGAACCUGCACUAGGAGCUACCAAAUUCCAGCCUUCUUAUUAUGUAAAAAAAGAUCAAUGUCUAAAUCACUAAGAGAAUUUUCUAUAACAUGGAAGCAAAAUCUUUUCUAACUGAUGUACUCUGCAAGUGAACAUUGAACUGUUAAGGUUUCCAGUCCUGUAGGAAACUUGAGUUUUAAAAAACCACAUGUAUGUUCAAUAUGUUUUUUGAUUUAACUUCUUUAAACAGCGUUUGAAUGA